rnacentral:tRNA from 1 species
GGGCUGUGUGAGGCUAAAUCAAUAAACGGAAACUAAGCAUGUAGAGCUCUCGGCAGAGUGCUGACGGACGGGGGUUCAAAUCCCCCCGGCUCCACCA